CCCUACGGGGUGCAGCAGGCGGCGGGGGCUUUGCGGCUCCAAAACGCGUACAAGCAGGUUCGUCUGGAGCAACUGCAAGCGCUGCGACUGCCCGAGCCGGGCGAACACAUAGCCGGGAAAAACAGGGAUCUUAACCGUCACCUUACGGCGUUGCACGACGCUUGUUCUCUCGCGCAGCGGCAAAUAGAAAGGGAUGCCGUAAAGCUCGCAAUACUCCGUCACCUUCUUCUCGGUCCGAGGUUUGACGAAAAGCACUUUCCAGUUAUGCAUAGGAGCGACAUGAUACAGAGGAAGCAGGGUGCUGGGCAAUAGGCAAUCAGCCUGGGAAGGACGAUUCGGAUUCAAAGAAGUUGAGGGAUAGGCAGAGGCGGUUUCACGCAUGAUACGUUGCUGGUGCUGUCGGACGGGUGCCGGAGAAUGGAUAACAAGGAAUAACAGGCGGGAGAGC
rnacentral:rRNA from 1 species